ensembl:lncRNA
GAAGCAGGAGCAGAGAGAUGAGGUGCUGGCUUUGAAGAUGGAGGAAGGGGCCGUGAGCCAAGGGAUAUGAGUGGCUUCUAGAAGCCAGAAAGGGCUAAGGAAUGGAGCCCCCAGAAGGAGCACAGCUUUGCUGACAGCUUGAUUUUAGCGCAGUGAGACCCAUGUUGAACGUCUAUCCUACAGAAUUGUAAGACAAGAAAUCUGUGUUGUUUAAGCAGCUCAGCGGUGGUGAUCUGUUACCGCAGCCACAGAGAAGGAACGCACGUACGGAUGUAGGCACUGCGAUGGUUUGGAGAGACUUUGUUUCACAAAUGUCCACUGAUGGUGCAGAGUUAUAAAUCUCAGAGAAGUGUGAAAUAUACAGGAAUCACUCACACACCUUUCAUUUGUGCCUUGUGAGUAUCGCCAUAGACGAUGAGCAAAGAGCAUGUGGCUAAUAAUGUGUCUGGAUUUGCCCUGGGACAUCUCCACUCCUCCCAGAAGCCCUCCAAGAACCAAGUGGACAAGGAGUCGAGUCUCUGCGGGUGGGAAACACACCGAGCUCCACAUCGAGCUCUCAGUGAGGAUCAUGGAACAAACCAGCGUUUGGAGUGUGAGAUGGAAAAAAUCAAUCACAGGGAAUUCUAAUGGUGUAAUUAAUUGUAUCUUCUUGGUUAAUCAUUAUUCGUGUCAUGGGGUGUUAUAAGUUCCCCCGAAACAGAUGAGCAGAGCAUAAACUUCUUUUUAAAGAGUUUUUUAGUUUCCUAAAGCGAGUCUAGUGUUCUGAGCUCUUUGCUGACUGGUGUGGCCCAGUAACCCUUCGCUGAACGUGAAUUUGGACAGAGCGUUUCUUGGCACAUUGACGGUGCUUAAAAAGGUACCCAACAGAUGGCCCAAUUGGUUCAUGAUAGAAAUAGGCGGUGUUUGGAGAAAUUCUCACUGUGUAUCAGUGAUUUACCAAUCUGAGCUCCAGGAGGGUAGGAGGGGGCUCCCAGUUGCUAAAUCUGCUCUGCCGGCUCUGCUGGGAGCUCUGGAGGGGUCUCCCAGAGAGCUGCAUAGGACGAAGCAGGAGUUACCAGAAUCAGCUUCUCCUGUCUGCUGGGGCUUAGCACAUGCCUGACACACAGUAGGUGCUCAAUAAGUGUUUGAAACCAAGCUCCUCCCCUACUGGUGAUUCGAUUUUAAGGUGAGGAGUCUCAUUCUUGUGCUUUGGGGGAUACGCAGCAUGGUUCAUGGGGGAAGCGGGGUCAACCCUAUGCACAAGCGGUCCUCAACUGCGUUUGCCUCCAGUUCCUUCCACUCCUGCCCCAGGUGCUGUCCACUGGGAAAACGCACUGACUCCAGUCCCCUGAGCACAUGUUCUAAGGUGGGAGCUCUUCCGGCUUGGUUCAUCCAGAAGUUCGUCAAAGUCUGUGACCCACUGAAUAUUUCUUGUGAGAGUGUCCCAGCUUGUAAUCCUUUCCUAUCAGUCUAGCGUGUUUCCUACUGGAAGGUCCCACCUGGAAAGGAAAGCUGAGGGUUUGGAACAAUGAGAUUGUCACCUGAUGAGCUGGUGCUGAAUUGAGAAAAUGCCGUUGGCUCCUGCCAAUCAGUUCACCUUCUUGAGGAAGUUGCACUCCGUUAAACACUUUGUUUACAAAAAACAGGACUUAGCUAAGGGUCAGCCACAGAAAG